UAGAAAACACCUGAAGCUGGUGAGCAGCCGCUUCCAGAUAAGAUCUCAGCACACUAAGAGGCAAGAUGGUGGAAUUUAACUAGUGUAUGACCUUUCUUUAGGAGCACUCAACUGGUAUCCAGAUGCAGAAGUCUUACUUCCUGCUUUUCUGUGACAUCAUCCUUCCGAAGGCAGGGCACAGGCAAGAACAUGAUAAAGCACUUCUCCUUCCUGCCAUCACGUGAAGAAGGAUGUGUUUGCUUCCCCCUCUGCCAGGAUUGUACGUUUCCUGAAGCCUCCCCAGCCUGCAGAACUGAAGUGACUUCCAAGACGAUGCCCUCUACCACAUCACAUUUCCAGAUUAUAGUGAUCAUCUACAUGUUGCAGAGACACGAAAUUAUAUCUGGUAGAACACAAACGGAAAAGCCUUUGCAAGACAUGUUAGUUAAAUUCUCAUUUGAAGAAAAAAGCUUAUAUUUCUCGGCAUACAUACUUCUGAGCUCGUGUUAAGUGAACAAAAUUGAGAUCUCAUGUCCUGGCAAUAAACCAACUCUUGUUACCUAAGGAUGUGCCGCUUAGUCUUUGCAUUUCAAUGUCUGUUAAAAAGUGACCAUGUGGGCCGGGCGCGGUGCUCACGUCUGUCAUCCUAGCACUUUGGGAGGCCGAGGAGGGCAGAUCACGAGGUCAGGAAAUCGAGACCAUCCGGGCUAACACGGUGAAACCCCGUCUGUACUAAAAAUACAAAAAAUCA